UUUUUUUUUGGCAGGGGGCAGUGGGCAUCUGGAGAACUAUUUCUCAUAUAUCAUUCCUGAUUUCUAUGAAGGCUUCAUUAUUAAAGGAUCUGUGUUUCAUAGCAAUUUAUCCAGUAUAGUACAUUAAUUAAGAACUUAGAUUCUAACGUUAAAUUACUUUGGCUUCCUUACCAACUCUAGGAUUUAAUAGCUGUGAUAACUUGUUUAGCACUCAGGAUUUCUAUUUCCCUAUGAGUAAACUGGGCAUCAUACGUCAUCAGUCGAGGCUUGUAAUAGUAGAGUUUGCUACAACUGGUCCAGGGUAAUGAAACUGACUCUGUUGUAAUUUGCCUACUUUGUUCUACUUUUGCCAACUAAAUUUUAGGUCUCAGUUUCUAAAACAGUGUUCUUCUUCUUCCAAUCUCCUUCAUUGAGCAAAGGUGCCAUAACAUAGUGGACAUUCAAAUAUUUGUUGAAAGUAUAGUUAUGGUCAUUAUGCAACUACAGAUGGGAUCAAUUCAUUUGAGUAAUAAAAAAAUAUAUCCCGAAAGUAUAAUAAAAUAAAAAAAUGUAUGCACUAUAAUCGAGAUACUGGAAAGUGCUAUUGGUUGUCAAACGAAGGUCAGUGGAUGAUGGAAAUGUUCGCAUAGUUGAGGUAGGACUUAAUACAACCAGGGCAGGAAAACCCAAGCAAAAUGAGCGCUGUAAUCAGUGACCCAGCUGGGAAAGAGGCAGUCCAAUCGUGGAAGGUCAAGUACAACUAGGAAAUAAAUAUACAUUAAAGAGACCUCGAAUGGUAGCAGGAAGUUUAUUUUCCAUGCAACUGACAGAUUUUUGUUCAGGAAGUAGAUGUGACUCUAGAGGUCUUUGUGAGUUAAAAUUAACUCGAUCAUUAACUUACCCUGCAGGAGCUUAGAAGAAGUGAUUUCCGGAUGGCUUGCCAUUUUGAACUUGGAGGAUUUGAAGAAUUAUUAUAUUUCAUAUUGGUUAUAUUGGUUUGGGGACGAGAUAAGUUGAAUUUUGGACUUUUUCUUUUUGAAAUAUUAAGGUGGGGAGUUCCCACUGUGGCUCAGCAGUAAUAAACCCAGCUAGCCUCCAUGAGGAUAUGGGUUCGAUCCCUGGCUCUGCUCAGUGGGUUAAGGAUCUGGCAUUGCUGUGAGCUGUGGUGUAGGUGGCAGACAUAAAACUCGAAUCCUGUGUUGCUAUUGCUAUGGCUGUGGUAUAUGCUGGCGGUUGUAGUUCCAAUUCAACCCCUAGCCUGGGAACUUCCAUAUGCUGCAAGUGCAGCCCUAAAAAGCAAAAAAAAAAGAAAAAAAAAUUGAUGUGGAGGAUGUCUUAGAUAGUUCAGUUUUCUAGCUCAAAUACCAUAAACCGGGUGGGUUAAACCACUAACAUUUGUGUCCUACAGUUAAGGAUGCUGGAGGUCCGAGAUCAGGGUGCCAGCAGGGUGGGCUUCUUGGUUCUGUAAACCAUCUCCCUGGUUUUCAGGGGGCGGCCUCCUCGCUGGACCCUCACAUGAAGAGCUGUGGUCUCUUCCUCCCUUUCAGGGCACCUGUUCCAUCAUGAAGAUGCCCUUUUCAUGAGCUAAUUACCUCCCAAAGGCCCCAGCUCCUGGUACCAUCCCUUCAAGUAUUAGGGCUUCAGCAUAUGCAUCCAGUCUAUCGCAGUGCGUAUACUGACAGUGAGAAGCACAGCUCUGGAAGAAAGGUGUGGGAAUCCAGCCUUCCGAGGAAAUAGUUGGUAUUGUGGGCGUUGAGGACCGUGAGAAAAGAGGAGGAGCAGGAGGAGUCUUAGGAUGUGGAGGAUUUCUGAAUUUAAGGGUCGAGAGAAAAAGGCAUGAGGAGAAGAUUCGGAAACAGUGGUCAGGGGAUGAGAGAAGGAAAACUGUAGCAUGGCAGAAGUGGAGGCAGGAAAGAUUCCAGAAAUAAGGGUUCACCUACGUGGUGGAUACUGAUUCUGCUGAGAAGAGGACAUAAAGGAACAAGAGGCAGAAGGGAAAGCUAUAAGGAGCUUGUGGCCUGCAGUCAGCCAGGCCCAGGGUUUGCGCUCUCUGGCUCUGCCUCCUAGUUAGGAUUCCGGGGGCAGCUGAUCCAGGAAAGCGUGAGGGAAUCAGUGAAUCACCUCCCUCAUGUUUUUGCCACCUCAGCAUAAAUUAUUAACCUAAUGGGUUAUGCUUUGUAGCCGAUGCAUUGUGUUGGUGUAUGUACUAAAGUAACAUAUGCAGUCUUUCCCAUUUAGUGGUCACUUACCCUUCACUGUGUAAAACACUUAGGUGCAUGUAAACAUUUCUAAUGAAACCCAUAUCAACUAUCUCAGACCCUAAGUAGCUUGAAGCUUCGGUUGGCUCUGCAGUAUUAGCAGCAUCCAGUGCUAGCUGGCAUGGUUGGAGACGCCUGUGCCUUAAAUCCGAGGGUACUUGUAUAUUUGAAGAAAUUGGGAGUAGAAAAUGUUUGUCCUCAGGGUCCCGUCUAGUUUUUAAUUCAUUCUUCAUCUUUCUUCAUUGUCCUAGUUACUUAGAAAAAAAUUUACAAGGAGUUCCCUGGUAGCCUAGUGGUUAAGGAUGCUAGUGGUUGGGUCACUUCUCUGGUGUGGGUUUAAUCCUUGGCCCCGGGAAAUUCUACAUGCUGUGGGUGUGGUCAAAAAAAAAAUAAAGAAAGAAAGAGAUUCUUAGUUAUACAUUAAAGAUUUCUUGUGCUAUUUUCAAAAAAAAUCGUUUUAAAAUAUUACAUUUAAAUGAUAAUGUUUAUUUAAAAAUAAAUGAAUCUUAAUAUUAGCAUUUUGAGUACCCAAAUUAUUUUGGAGAAAACAGGUCAUUCAUUCAUUAAUUCAAGAAACAUUUAUUGAACAUGUAUUUCAUGCCAGACAUUUUUUGAUUUGGGGAUUAUCUUUACAAGAUAAGUUAAAGAAGAUCCUUCACCUCCCAGAGUUCACGGACUAGAGAAGAAAAACUAUAGGAAAUUAGAGGUGAUAUACAGGGAUAGAGGAAAUGACAGAGAACAGAGAAUAAACUCCUAUUCCCAACCCCAGAACGUGUCAGCAUCAAUCUGGGAGACCUGUGCUGAGCUGUGAACGGUAAGGAGAGUCAGACAUGUUGACUGGUACAAGGGCCAGACUGGGGCAGAGAAUGCCCAUGUGGCUGUGAUCUGAGAACAGAGAGGUAACUAGAAUCGUGUUUCAUACGCAAACAGGGUUAUUCCUGGGGUAGCUGUUGAUAGUGAAGCCGACCCAGGCUUGUGGGCACCUGAGCAAAACAGGAGGAAGAGCCCAAGUGAUGUUCUCGAGAGCCACCCAGACCUCUGCCAGGACUGCAGGUGUGUGGAAGGUGCUGACCCAGUCCCAGCUCAGCACCAAGACUGUUUUUAAGGGUCUACCCCAGCCUUGAGGCAGGAGAAGAAGUCGGGUGGUUAUCGGGGAGCGAGAACACCGGAGCCCUAAAGUCACAUCAUAAGACCCAGCCGUCCCAAGGGACUUAGCGGAUCAAGACUGCAGGAUGUUUUCCUAAGGGAGCUCCGCAGCCUGUCCUGAUUCAUGAGCUUUUUACUUUGGGUUCUCCAGCUGCAGCCUAACGGAUGCGCGCUCACUGACACAGCUCCCGAAGAGCAAGGAACUAGGUCACAGUCGACCGAGGAUACUUCACAUAGCGGCACUGAAAUGAUUAUCCCGGUUGGUGAAGCCUCGUUCAGCCAAGAGAGCUUCCGUCAGGCUUCCUAAUGGGGGCUGAGGCUCAG
rnacentral:lncRNA from 1 species